rnacentral:rRNA from 1 species
GGAGGUAGUGACAAUAAAUCACAAUGCGGGACUGUUAGUCUUGCAAUUGGAUUGAGAACAACGUACAACUCUUAUCGAUAAGCCAUUGGAGGGCAAGUCUGGUGCCAGCAGCCGCGGUAAUUCCAGCUCCAAUAGCGUAUAUUAACGUUGUUGCAGUUAAAAAGCUCGUAGUUGAAGUGAGGGAGUGUGUGGCAGGACCCAGCUAGUCUGGAGUGUCGCAACCUCCCCCUUCCAAUCGGUGUAGUGGGGUAUUCAGUUAUUUCACUACUCCUUUGGUCGUUUACUGUGAGAAAAUUAGAGUGUUCAAAGCGGGCGUUUGUUUGAAUAGAUUAGCAUGGAAUAAUGAUUGAAGGCUUUCGUGUUCGAUUUGAUUGGUUUGUUCAUGGAAGCAAGGUUAAAAGGAACAGUUGGGGGUAUUCAUAUUCACUAGUUAGAGGUGAAAUUCUCGGAUUUAUGGAAGAUGAACAGGUGCGAAAGCA